AGGACUCUCUGGGGACCAUAUACACACUCCAUAACCUCCAUGAGCUUCACGUGCUUCACUGCUAGGUGUCAUUCCACAAUAUGAGGACUGCUGCUUAUUCAUCCAUCCCCUUACUGAAAACCACUCAGAAGACUGACGUGAGGCUCUGGAGAGUGGCUGCCCCAGAGCAACAUCCAUGAGAGCAACCAUCCAUGACACUGGUUUGGGCUUCCGUCAACCCUAUGAGGACUUGAGUUUCUUAGGAUGUGAAGAGUCCAUGGAUCCUCACAUCCUCAAGCAUGGAAUACCAUCUAGCAAACAAGCCAAAUUCCUUACCAAGACUGAGGACUUCUCAUAGCACACAUUUGACACAUUAGG